rnacentral:rRNA from 1 species
UCGGUCCCUAUCCGUCGUGGGCGUAGGAAAUUUGAGAGGAGCUGUCCUUAGUACGAGAGGACCGGGAUGGACAUACCUCUGGUGUACCAGUUGUCGUGCCAACGGCAUAGCUGGGUAGCUAUGUGUGGACGGGAUAAGUGCUGAAAGCAUCUAAGCAUGAAGCCCCCCUCAAGAUGAGAUUUCCCAACUUCGGUUAUAAGAUCCCUCAAAGAUGAUGAGGUUAAUAGGUUCGAGGUGGAAGCAUGGUGACAUGUGGAGCUGACGAAUACUAAUCGAUCGAAGACUUAAUCAAAUU